GCGCGAUUAGCUCAGCGGGAGAGCGCGUUCCCUGGACACGGAAGAGGUCACUGGUUCAAUCCCAGUAUCGCGCA
rnacentral:tRNA from 1 species